GACGAACGCUGGCGGCGUGCUUAACACAUGCAAGUCGAGCGGUAAGGCCCUUUCGGGGGUACACGAGCGGCGAACGGGUGAGUAACACGUGGGUGACCUGCCCUCAGCUCUGGGAUAAGCCUGGGAAACCGGGUCUAAUACCGGAUAUGACUCCAUGACGCAUGUUGUGGGGUGGAAAGCCUUGUGCGGCUGAGGAUGGGCCCGCGGCCUAUCAGCUUGUUGGUGGGGUGAUGGCCUACCAAGGCGACGACGGGUAGCCGGCCUGAGAGGGCGACCGGCCACACUGGGACUGAGACACGGCCCAGACUCCUACGGGAGGCAGCAGUGGGGAAUCUUGCGCAAUGGGCAAAGCCUGACGCAGCGACGCCGCGUGAGGGAUGACGG
rnacentral:rRNA from 1 species